rnacentral:rRNA from 1 species
AGUGAACGCUGGCGGUAGGCCUAACACAUGCAAGUCGAACGGCAGCACAGUAAGAGCUUGCUCUUACGGGUGGCGAGUGGCGGACGGGUGAGGAAUACAUCGGAAUCUACUUUUUCGUGGGGGAUAACGUAGGGAAGCUUACGCUAAUACCGCAUACGACCUACGGGUGAAAGCAGGGGAUCUUCUGACCUUGCGCGAUUGAAUGAGCCGAUGUCGGAUUAGCUAGUUGGCGGGGUAAAGGCCCACCAAGGCGACGAUCCGUAGCUGGUCUGAGAGGAUGAUCAGCCACACUGGAACUGAGACACGGUCCAGACUCCUACGGGAGGCAGCAGUGGGGAAUAUUGGACAAUGGGCGCAAGCCUGAUCCAGCUAUACCGCGUGGGUGAAGAAGGCCUUCGGGUUGUAAAGCCCUUUUGUUGGGAAAGAAAAGCAGUAGGUUAAUACCCCGCUGUUCUGACGGUACCCAAAGAAUAAGCACCGGCUAACCUCGUG